rnacentral:rRNA from 1 species
UUGUCUCAAAGAUUAAGCCAUGCACGUCUCAGUACAAGCCUAAUUAAGGCGAAACCGCGAAAAGCUCAUAAAUCCAGUUAUGGUUCCUACGAUCGUAAUCACAUUUACUGGAUAAACUGUGGUAAUUCUAGAGCUAAUACAUGCAAACAGAGCUCCGACCGGAGACGGGAGGAGCGCUUUUAUUAGAUCAAAACCAAUAGGCGGCGGUUCGUCUCGCGCGUCCGCCGUCGUUCGCCCUGGGCGAAUCUGAAUAACUUUACGCCGAUCGCACGGUCUCGCACUGCGACGCAUCUUUCAAAUGUCUGCCUUAUCAACUGUCGAUGGUAGGUUCCGUGCCUACCAUGGUCGUAACGGGUAACGGGGAAUCAGGGUUCGAUUCCGGAGAGGGAGCCUGAGAAACGGCUACCACAUCCAAGGAAGGCAGCAGGCGCGCAAAUUACCCACUCCCGGCACGGGGAGGUAGUGACGAAAAAUAACGAUACGGGACUCAUCCGAGGCCCCGUAAUCGGAAUGAGCACACUCUAAACCCUUUAACGAGGAUCAAUUGGAGGGCAAGUCUGGUGCCAGCAGCCGCGGUAAUUCCAGCUCCAAUAGCGUAUAUUAAAGUUGUUGCGGUUAAAAAGCUCGUAGUCGAAUCUGUGUCCCGCGCCGCCGGUUCAUCGCUCGCGGUGUUUAACUGGCGUGUUUACGCGGGACGUCCUGCCGGUGGGCUUAGCCCGCGAGGGCGGCCCAAGUUUUUAUCCCGCCGCGGUGCUCUUCGCUGAGUGUCGAGGCGGGCCGGCACGUUUACUUUGAACAAAUUAAAGUGCUUAAAGCAGGCUAAAACUUCGCCUGAAUACAGUGUGCAUGGAAUAAUGGAAUAGGACCUCGGUUCUAUUUUGUUGGUUUUCGNNNNNCCGAUGUAAUGAUUAAUAGGAACGGAUGGGGGCAUUCGUAUUGCGACGUUAGAGGUGAA